AUUGAACGCUGGCGGCAGGCUUAACACAUGCAAGUCGAGCGGGGAAAGGUAGCUUGCUACUGGACCUAGCGGCGGACGGGUGAGUAAUGCUUAGGAAUCUGCCUAUUAGUGGGGGACAACAUCUCGAAAGGGAUGCUAAUACCGCAUACGUCCUACGGGAGAAAGCAGGGGAUCUUCGGACCUUGCGCUAAUAGAUGAGCCUAAGUCGGAUUAGCUAGUUGGUGGGGUAAAGGCCUACCAAGGCGACGAUCUGUAGCGGGUCUGAGAGGAUGAUCCGCCACACUGGGACUGAGACACGGCCCAGACUCCUACGGGAGGCAGCAGUGGGAAUAUUGGACAAUGGGCGCAAGCCUGAUCCAGCCAUGCCGCGUGUGUGAAGAAGGCCUUAUGGUUGUAAAGCACUUUAAGCGAGGAGGAGGCUACUCUAGUUAAUACCUAGGGAUAGUGGACGUUACUCGCAGAAUAAGCACCGGCUAACUCUGUGCCAGCAGCCGCCGCCGUAA
rnacentral:rRNA from 1 species